rnacentral:sRNA from 2 species
GACAAGGGCGAAGGUGCAUUUGGAUCAGAGUCCUCGACAUAAGUUUUAGAUGCAUGGGUCAGGUAACCCUGCGGUAUAUAUCAGUGGGGAUCAUAUAAGACGAGCCCGGAGAAGGCCUUUUGGAACACUCCAGCACAUAGAAAUACAUGUUUCAAGGAUUAAGAUACCUAGGGGGAGGGUCCUUACCACUGAGUAUUCAGAUAUCACAUGAUCGAUUCCGGGAAUCCGCUUCUGGAUUUCCGCCUCCAUGACUUUGAGCGCACAAUAGAGCAAGAUCAAUAAAACGCAGGAUUCCGAGCAGCGGCAAUUAGGAUCUAGCCGUGGUACUGCGUCAAACUCGGCGUCAGGUAUUACUGGAGUUUUUUCAAGACUUUCCAGUGAUGCGGGACCGCUAAUUCGUCGCAAACUGGUGGUUAGGUUACUGGUAUCGAGAACCCGUGGUACGCAGCUUAGACUUUUCUGCCAACUAAUUUUGCUAAGUAAUCGCAGGGG